UAUCGAUACUAACUAUCGACGUUUCGAUAAACGCUUAAAAUCGACACUAACUACAACACUGGCCCUUUUGUUUUGGAACCUGCCUAGUUGCGUAUCCCCUCUCGAUCCUCCGGCUCGCCUGCCCCGCCAUCAGCGGUCGGCGGCCAGCGCUCCUUCCAUUCCACCUCAGACCGCGGGACGCCGAGUGCGUGUCUCUCUAACCAGCGCGCAUUUCCACUUUGCUCCGCUCUGAACGGACGUCUUAUCGCUGCAUAAUAUAUAAUAACUUAUGUUAGUUAUUCAUUCUUAAAGUCUAAAUUCAGUGUGUGAAUCUUCCCCACUUUCGGGGUCCACGGUACGGUUUACCGACUGCACGGAACUUCUACCUACUUCUACGGCUCGCCCGCUACGUGCUGGUUCGGCAACCCCCUACCUCCGUGUUGCUGACCACGCCGCGCAGCCGAGCUACACGCCACGCGCACGCAACGUCCACGUGUCCUGCCUAUCUAUCUACCUGGGCACUGGAGAAGAGGACUUCCACGCCGGUCGCGUUAUCGGGAUUCCACGCCGAUACUCUUCGACUCAGGGGAGUCCCUAUCCGUGCCAACUGAAAAUUGACUGAUCGUGUAGUGUAGGCCUAACCCACGUUGACCUUUAAAUAAAUUUGUGUCAAGCUGAA